UUCUGGGUUGUUUUUUUUUUUACUGGUUGCGUUGGCUAUCAUAAUGGAAAAUAGCAUUCCUAGUGCCAAGGAGAAGAAAAUAACUGGAAAGAGAACUUUUUCCAAAGGAAAGCAUCUUGCAUAUGUGCCUAUUUUUGAAUUGUUGUCACAGAUCUUCAUAUUAUGUGGGUUCUAAGACUUUGUCAAAGAAACCAUGAGUUAUGGAUGCCCUCCCUCUGCCAAAAAACAAGCAGCCCCAAGGCCUUAUGAGAUAAUUUAGCCUUUCUUUUGAACAAAAGAAGAAAAGACUUUUCCCAGACAGAUUAGAUUUAGUGUCACUGAUAAACUGGUAUAAAAAUUUUGCUGUAGUUCCUAAGCUGGUUUUAGUCUUUAUUUUGAGGACUAGGUAGAAGAUUUAUUAGUCUUAGUGAGAAAAUGUGUUAAGAGACGCAGUAUUGACUCUGAAUCUUCUGAAAGGUGUAGUUGAGCAGAACAGUAAUGCUCCAUUGAAAUUUAACUCAAAAAACCCAAAAGACAUAACUCAAUAAAGAGAAAAGGGGAGGGAGGGGGAAAAGAAAGUGAACCUUAGAAAUAGCUUGAGGACUUUCAGGCAUUAGCCGAAUUUUCUUUUUCUGUCAAGGCUUCUUAUUUGUGCAGAUUGUUAACCACAGUAAUCCCUGGCUUUAAAUUACUGUAGCAUUUUAUGAAUUACACUUGCAUUGUAAGAAGAUACUGUCAUUAUUACUAGGUAUUAAUGAGCAAAUCUUGUGCCAGUUUAAUACAAAAUUUGUCUUUAGAAAUGGAGAAAUCUGUUACGGUAUUAAUUUACUUCAUUCCUGAAAAUGAUCUCUCAGGAAAAGCUUGAAAAAUGUAAUACAUCAUGUUCAAUAUAUAGGAAUAUCUCUAAGACUGUGAUGCCAUUUUUCUCAGGGUAUUAAUCCUGGUCUGUAUCCAAGACCAAUUGGCUUCUAGCAGUAGCUGGCUAUCAGCAUUAAAAUUUCUCCCUUGUGUUUUGUUGCAAACUGUUAAAGACCAGCUUACUUUCUCAGUCUUUGCUGUUCAAAUCAUGCAGUUUUUCCUGAGUUGUUUGAAGCAUAAGAAAUAAUAAAUUCAUUUCCUGCUGGCAGCAGUGCAGUGGGACAUAACUUUGCCUCUGAUUUGCUCUUGUUUAAUGUUUCCCUUUUUCUGUAUUUUAAGGUCAGUGGUUUUGUUCUUCUUAGUAUACUCUGUGCCUUUCAGGUUCCCAUGUCUCCUAUCACAUAAAGCAGCAACCAACAAAGCUGAUAUUCCUAUUUCACAAUCUUAUCAACCUAUUAUCACAAUUUUAUCCAUAACAGACUUUCUUUUUUCCUACCAAAAUUAAUUCAUCUUACUGCUAGCUUAGAUGUUUUCCACCAUUCUGUUUAGUUACCAGAUUUUCUGUUCUGAGUUAGACAGAAAUAAUCAAGUACAAUCUCAUAAUUCUAUUUAAACCUUUUUCCUAUGAAGUGUGCCCUAGUACUUCUUCCAGGCUUUGCAGUGUCUGUUUCUCUCAGUUUUCUUCCCAGUCCACAAUCUUAGAAUCUUCUGAAGAAGUUUGGGAACUGGAGUGCUGGGAACACCAGCCAUUCACUUGCUCUCUCAUACGAAGAGCCGUAGAAAGUUCUUAAGUGAAAGGCAGUAAAGUACACUUUAUGGCAGAAGUAAAACAAGGCUUGCAGCAUUCCACUGUUUGAUUUCUAAUUGGUGGUGGGUUUUUUUGAGGAGAAAUCUCAGCAAAAGGGAUUCAAGAGAAUCCUGCAAGAACUGCAGAUGCAAACCUGAAAAUUUCCUUUGGUGAUUGACAGUUUAAAUAAUAGACCAUCUCAAGCCCAAGACUUCAGUGGAAGCAAAAAAGUAGAGGGAAAGUCUUUGUGGAAGAAAAGGUUUCCUUUCUAUCUUGUGUCCUCACUGAUAAAGAUUAGGCAAAAGAUGGAAUAUGAUUCAAUCUUUCCUCCUGGAAGGUUACAUACCUCUUGAGAAAAAGGCAGAGGCACAAAGUUAAAAACACGUACUUGUAGCUGAGGCAGGUAGACAACAAAGAACUGCCAAGUUUGAAGGGGAUGUAUCUGCUGCUGCAGGGUGUAUUAUUAUGGUUUCAGAUAAGAUAGCCAAGGUGAAACUGCUUGACUUGAAAGCAUGUGUAGACCGUGGCCUAAGUUGAUAAGUAUUUUUUAAAUGGCAGAGGUUUAGCUAUUUGCAUAUCAUCGGAGAUAGUUACACUGUUUUAGCAAGUUUAAUGCUUUGAGUAUGGGAAAUAAAUUCUCAGAAAUCUGAAGUGUGUUCCAGGAUAUUGUGUCUCAUUGGAUUUUAUUCCAGAAUGCAUUACACCAUUUUAUGUCUACAUUGAAUCUUCAUGUCUAGAUGCUAUACUGCUUAUUGCAUAUAGCAUACUAAAAUGCCUCUCCUGCCCAUUAAUAUUAAAGGAAGAUUUUAAUGA